UACGAAGGGGGCUAGCGUUGCUCGGAAUCACUGGGCGUAAAGGGCGCGUAGGCGGCCAGCACAAGUCAGUUGUGAAAUCUCCGAGCUUAACUCGGAAAGGUCAACUGAUACUGUGCGGCUAGAGUGCGGAAGGGGCAACUGGAAUUCUUGGUGUAGCGGUGAAAUGCGUAGAUAUCAAGAGGAACACCUGCGGCGAAGGCGGGUUGCUGGGCCGACACUGACGCUGAGGCGCGAAAGCCAGGGGAGCGAACGGG
rnacentral:rRNA from 1 species